rnacentral:lncRNA from 1 species
AUUAUUCUAGCUAUUUUAUUUAUUUCUUGGUCCAUUGUCUCUAUUAUUUAUAUUUUUUGUCCACUAUUCUCAAUUCCAUAAUCCCCCAUCAACGGCCUCUAGUUAAUGUCACCUUAUAGUCUUCACAAAUAAGCAAAAUUACUACCUUAUAGGCUCCUAAUGGCAAACCAAUUGAAGGCUUUAAUAUCCCAGUUUGAAUUGUGAAAUUGCGGAAAUUUUGAAAAUUUGAUCAAGCAAAAUACAUUAUCGUCCUCGUAGUUCGUAAAAUACUGGCAGAUGGACCUUUG